CACUUCUGCCAGCGAAGGACUCUCCAUUUUUCCAGAGGUCAAAGCAAAAGCACUUAGAAUCUCAUGAUUUAAGGAACCUCAGAGAUUGAUUCAUCAAAAUACCCUCUGGAGCAGGACAUGGCUCCUACCCUCGGUCAUUUGAGCCCAUCCUUGUUGUAGGAGUGUGUGCCUUCAUAGGCUAAAGAUUGAAAGGUUGGAGAAUGCCACUGAACCGUGUCGAAGAGUGAUGUAGGAGUGGGAGCUCAUCGGGAAGAAAAUAUUCAGGCAGCAUAUAGAGAAAUAGAGGCACAACUACCAGGACCAUUUUGUUCGCAGUCUCUCUCCUUGGGUAGCUGAAUGCCCCUGAAGGCUUGGAAGGUCUUGCUAGUUAUUAUGGACCUAAAUAAGGCAAGACCAGUGGAGGAAAAGAGUUGGCCUUGGCUUUCUGACAAACCUGGUCCUGAUGAUUCAUGGCCUACAUCAGCUAGCCAAGACUUAGAUUUCGGUACCAAGGAAGGAACAGCAAAGUCAGCAACGGAAGCAAAGGAAGAUGGUGUUGGUAUUAUUGAAAAUGUGCCACCAGAGCAAACAGUUAAUGGCAGUUUGACUUCUGCUGGUGGAGUGCAUAAAAAUGACAGAAGUGGUAAGCUAGUGAAUCUCUGUGAGUUGUUUUCCUAUGAUUAAAUGCUAGUACGAGAAAAAUCUGAAA